rnacentral:rRNA from 1 species
CUACGGGGUGCUGCAGUGGGGAAUAUUGGACAAUGGGGGCAACCCUGAUCCAGCAAUACCGCGUGUGUGAAGAAGGCCCGAGGGUUGUAAAGCACUUUCGGUUGGGAGGACUGCUUCUAGCACUAAUAUUGUUGGAAGUUGACGUUACCUUCAGAAGAAGCACCGGCUAACUCCGUGCCAGCAGCCGCGGUAAUACGGAGGGUGCAAGCGUUAAUCGGAAUUACUGGGCGUAAAGCGCGCGUAGGCGGCUAGAUCAGUCGGGUGUGAAAGCCCCGGGCUUAACCUGGGAACUGCAUCCGAUACUGUCUAGCUUGAGUACAGGAGAGGAGAGUGGAAUUCCACAUGUAGCGGUGAAAUGCGUAGAUAUGUGGAGGAACACCAAUGGCGAAGGCAGCUCUCUGGCCUGAUACUGACGCUGAGGUGCGACAGCGUGGGGAGCAAACAGGAUUAGAUACCCCCGUAGUC